rnacentral:lncRNA from 1 species
UGUUUGUGGUCUCUUCACACUUCUCAAAAUUUAAGCUCAAGUACAGUAACUGUGACCUAGUACAUGUGUAUCUAAUACCUAACCAUACUUUUCUUUUCCAAAAAGUACUUCCCAAACUUGGAUUAAGUCCUCACAAGGCAGUUUAGUAAUAACUAUAAAAUACUUAUCAUAACUACAAGUAACAAAUUAUAUAUACAUAUAUAUGUAUAUAUAUGUGUGUGUGUGUGUGUGUGUGUAUACAUACAUACAUACAUAUAUACAUUUUUUUCUUUUUUGAGACAGGAUUUCUUUGUGUCCUGGAACUAGCUCUGUGGACCAGGAUGGCCUUGAACUCACAGAGAUCCACCUGCCUCUGCCUCCAGAGUGCUGGGAGUAAAGGCGACCACUCAGCAUUCAGCCUGCUUUCUUACACAACCCAAGACCUCUCAUGCCCAGGGGUGGCACUGCACCACAGUGCACACUGACACAGCCAGAAGAGGGUGUUAGAUCCCAUUACAGAUGGUUGUGAGCCACCAUGUGGUUGCUGGGAAUUGAACUCAGGACCUGGAAGAGCAGUCAGUGCUCCUAACCACUGAACCAUCUCUCCAGCCUGUGUUUCUUUCUUAAAUGAUUGGAACUCCCCUUGCCAAGGAAGUGAAGAAAUGAAAAUCUCAUAGAGAAUAUCAGAGUUUCUGACACAGUGCAUUUCCCCCUGUGGGAUAGGCUCGCAAAGGUGGGUCCAUGAUGGGAAGGAUGUGUCAAAAUAGGCAAAGCACACAGAAUAUUAUCCUGCCUCAAAAUAUACCCCCAACUCCUUCAGUAAAUUUUCACACGCUGAUAAGGUCUCUGUGUUCAUAAAAAUAUGAUUACAUUAAAUUUACUGAGCCCAGCAUUGUUCCUGCUCCUUUCAGAAUCCAACUGCUUAAUUUGCAAUACAUUUAUUUCAAUUUAGCAAACCUUGUAUCUCUCCAUUCAAGGCACCAUGCUAGUGGCUGAGAUGUACCAUUGGACAGGACACUCUGCAUGCUCACAUUGCCCACAGCUUCCUUCAAAGCAAGCUGCCAGCUCCUUAUGCAAAGGCCAUCUGAGUCAUCGAGAGCUCGAAGGCAGGAGUAUCAAGAUCACAGAAUAUUUAAUAAACAAAAACAGCUUACGUGGUUGUUGAGUGGGGAACACAGACCGCAUCUUAAGCAUGUGUGUUCCUGGAUCUCUUGGUCCAAACUUUCCCACGGCUCCGGAACUACUUAAUCUAUUGGCCUGAGAAGAGUUAUUAGGUGACUGAGGAUAUCAGCUAGAUAGCACACCUACAGACUCCGCCCUUCCCCAGGGCCUGAGUGAACAGAAGCUGGGAUGAUGGAGGACGGGCUACUGGCUGAUGGGAAAGGCAAAGAAUCACUGAGCUUGGACCAAGAGAUCCUUGGAAAGCUGGGGUGGGGAUGGCUUCAAAUCCCCCAUCAAUUCGCUCUUCCAAAAACACUGAUAUUUGGAUGUUGUACUGGCUGGUUUUGUGUGUCAACUUGACACAAGCUGGAGUUAUCACAGAGAAAGGAGCUUCAGGUGAGGAAAUGCCUCCAUGAGAUCCAGCUGUCAGGCAGUUUCUCAAUUAGUGAUCAAGGGUGGGAGGGCCCAUUGUGGGUG